CUUUCUUCUAUCCUGAUCUUCCUCGCUGAUGCCUUUGAUUUUCAAUGAAUUUUACUGAUAAUACAUAACUAGUUUCAGAAUUAAUUAAGGAAAGAGCAUUUGUAGCGAAUAAGGUCAAGAAGGGGUCAAGAAUGGUGUAUCGAAAAAUUCUUCAAUGAAUUGGAUUGUGUCUUUGGUUUCUUAUGCAUCCUUCGGAGGACAGAGAAAAUAGAAACUUACUAACGCAUGUACUAUCAUAUUCUCAACAGCGGAGAGCCGAAUGUUUGACACGGUUAGCAUCUGUAAUUCUUUACAUCUUUUUCCUUUCUCCUUUUUCACCACACAGCAUGAGAGAUUAAAAUUAUAGAGAAAAACUUUGACGAGUUGUUGUUGUAACUAUGUGGAUUUUCUGUCUUUUUUUUUACGAAUGAAAUAAACUGAUAUUACCCAAAUUUAUUGUGGGACUUAAAAAUUUAAAUGCGGUAUAGAGAAUUUCAGAUACUUGAAAUAUAUUCUUGGUUUUGUUUGUUCUCAUAGAAUCUCCUUAUCGCUAGCUAUAUAUAAUUGUGUCUCAUUUGCUAAAUUUUCAUGAAUUUCCAACACAAUCACCCGGAAAAGUAGUAAUCUCAAGUUUGCUUAUAGGUAUUUGUAUUUGUAUGAUACCUUUGGAUGGAACAUUACCAGAAAAUUACAAGUUAGUUGACUGAUGUAUGGAGCUUCUGUAAAGUGAUUGCUUUGAAAAGAUUCAAAAUAUGAAUUGCUUUAUUUAGAUAAAAUUUGUAUUAAUAUUUCAUACAUGGGACAGUAACAUUUAAACCUUAACAAUUUUGCUCCAACUUCUGCAAUUUGUGAAUGUAACUACUUGGACUUGUCUCAUUUUUGUUCAAAAAAUGGGACAUAACUGCAUUCAAGUUAUUACUGCUUCUUGUAUACAAGAAGUGAUUAAUUUGUAUUAUUUUCUACUUUUAUUAAUAAAUUUGGUACAUUUGUGUAAUCUUUUCAUUUAAAGUUCAGUCCCUUUUGAAGAAGAGAUACAUGAUAGAGACCUAAGACUAAUGAAGACUUCAACAUCUUUUAAGAUGAAAACAUUCUUCUAUAGUCGUUAGCUUAUAGGAAAACCUUGCCUUCUUCUUUAGGAAAUAUUGCUAACAAGUUAUGGUGGUUAGGGAUAUUUUGGUAGCAUUUUCAGCAUCAACGACCUCUUUCAACAUUUGCAGCAAGGUAAUAUUUGGACUUUCAGUUCAAGAAUUGAAUGUCUUUGUUGAAUUUCGAAUCUUUUUCUUUUUCAAGAAAACCUGUUUAUGUUUUAAGAUGAUUGUUUGAUUGAAGGAUUCUAUUGCAUAUAGCAUAAUUCUUUCAUGAUUUUUGUUCUGUUUAUGGAUUAUAAUCUUGUUAAUGGAAAUUUGCUCAUUCAAGAUGGAGAUUGUUUGGAUUGGGUAAUUCCUCUACAUUGCAGAGAUGAUCUUCUUAAUCUUUGGAGACACUAAAUUCUGAUAUAAUUUCCUCUUGCUUUUCAGGUGAUUUCACUAUAUAUUUUCUUUUUGUACAACUUGUCUACUGUUUGGAAGAAAAUAAA